rnacentral:misc_RNA from 1 species
AAGAUGAUGAUCUUGAGUCUCUGGUGAUGUUGUUCAAUACAAAUUCUUAUGAAAAUUAUUAUUAUUAUUAUUACAUACUCAACAGAAAAGUCUUUAAGUUCGACAAAUAUGCUUCACAAAGCCAAGAUAGAAGAACAAAAAAAACUGUCAAUACUCGAUAACCAUAGUAAGAACCACUCCAAAGUCCUAGUUCUACCAUUUAAUUGUCUACAAUCAAAGCUUGUUGCUUGUUCCUUGUUGCUCGUUGCUUUCUACUUUUAAAAUACAAGAGGCCAAGAAGCCAAAUUUAGUAAGUUAAUCAAAUGGUGCCUUAAUAAGGAAUAGUCACCUUACAACCUCCAUAGGAACAUAUGAGUAAUCAUUGAACUCUUCCAAUCCCUACGUUAUAAAUCACCUCGUCAACAAGAUUUUAGAACUUGAAUUUUGUCUCAUUUCCAUUGUUACAUAAAAGUAAACCUCUCUACAAAGAAACAUAAUUCUUAAAUUGUCCUAAAUCAAUAGUGCAACUUCAUUGAUUCAAAGAAAAAGAAUCCCUAAGUGGCACAGCCCUGAGACUUGGUACUGUACUGUACUGUACUCAACUCAACUCAACUAAG